AUUCUGCUCAAAAGGUGAUUUCUCAGUUGAGGAAAGAGUUGAAUGAAAGUAUUAGCAGCCGGCGAGUUUCAGACGUUCAGUUCGCGGCGUUCGUAGACUCGGAGC
rnacentral:ribozyme from 1 species